rnacentral:lncRNA from 1 species
GAAGAUGCAACAGGAAGGUCCUCACAAGAUGGCUGAGCAGAUGCAGGUGCUGUGCCUCUGGACUGCCUAGCCUCCAGAACCACUUGAGAAAGCCUGGCUCAGAGCCUCAGAGCUGCCCACUGGACCCACAGCUGAUCGUAGAUGCAUGUGUGAGCCCAACCAGAACCAGAAGAUCUCCCGGCAGACCCAUAGACUCAGGAAAAAUAAAAAAGCUUACUGCUUAAGCCACUGAAUUAUUGGUGAAGCUUGUUACAUA